GACGAACGCUGGCGGCGUGCCUAACACAUGCAAGUCGAGCGAGUGAAUCUCCUUCGGGAGUGAAGCUAGCGGCGGACGGGUGAGUAACACGUGGGCAACCUGCCUCAUAGAGGGGAAUAGCCUUUCGAAAGGAAGAUUAAUACCGCAUAAGAUUGUAGCUUCGCAUGAAGUAGCAAUUAAAGGAACAAUCCGCUAUGAGAUGGGCCCGCGGCGCAUUAGCUAGUUGGUGAGGUAACGGCUCACCAAGGCGACGAUGCGUAGCCGACCUGAGAGGGUGAUCGGCCACAUUGGGACUGAGACACGGCCCAGACUCCUACGGGAGGCAGCAGUGGGGAAUAUUGCACAAUGGGGGAAACCCUGAUGCAGCAACGCCGCGUGAGUGAUGACGGCCUUCGGGUUGUAAAGCUCUGUCUUCAGGGACGAUAAUGACGGUACCUGAGGAGGAAGCCACGGCUAACUACGUGCCAGCAGCCGCCGCCG
rnacentral:rRNA from 1 species